rnacentral:rRNA from 1 species
GAUGAACGCUGGCGGCGUGCCUAAUACAUGCAAGUCGAGCGAACGGACGAGAAGCUUGCUUCUCUGAUGUUAGCGGCGGACGGGUGAGUAACACGUGGAUAACCUACCUAUAAGACUGGGAUAACUUCGGGAAACCGGAGCUAAUACCGGAUAAUAUUUUGAACCGCAUGGUUCAAAAGUGAAAGACGGUCUUGCUGUCACUUAUAGAUGGAUCCGCGCUGCAUUAGCUAGUUGGUAAGGUAACGGCUUACCAAGGCAACGAUGCAUAGCCGACCUGAGAGGGUGAUCGGCCACACUGGAACUGAGACACGGUCCAGACUCCUACAGGAGGCAGCAGUAGGGAAUCUUCCGCAAUGGGCGAAAGCCUGGCGGAGCAACGCCGCGUGAGUGAUGAAGGUCUUCGGAUCGUAAAACUCUGUUAUUAGGGAAGAACAUAUGUGUAAGUAACUGUGCACAUCUUGACGGUACCUAAUCAGAAAGCCACGGCUAACUACGUG